UACGGAGGGUGCAAGCGUUUGUCCGGAUUUAUUGGGUUUAAAGGGUGCGUAGGCGGCUUGAUAAGUCCGUGGUGAAAGCCAACAGCUCAACUGUUGAACUGCCAUGGAUACUGUCAGGCUUGAGUACAGACGAGGUAGGCGGAAUUGAUGGUGUAGCGGUGAAAUGCAUAGAUACCAUCAAGAACACCGAUUGCGUAGGCAGCUUACUAGGCUGUAACUGACGCUGAGGCACGAAAGCGUGGGGAGCGAACAGG
rnacentral:rRNA from 1 species